rnacentral:rRNA from 1 species
UACGGGGGGGGCAAGCGUUGUUCGGAAUUACUGGGCGUAAAGGGCUCGUAGGCGGCCCACUAAGUCCGACGUGAAAUCCCCAGGCUUAACCUGGGAACUGCGUCGGAUACUGGAUGGCUUGAAUCCGGGAGAGGGAUGCGGAAUUCCAGGUGUAGCGGUGAAAUGCGUAGAUAUCUGGAGGAACACCGGUGGCGAAGGCGGCAUCCUGGACCGGCAUUGACGCUGAGGAGCGAAAGCCAGGGGAGCAAACGGG